CGGGCUUGCUCGAGUCUCCUGCCUGCCGCUCUCUCGCGGUCUCCUUGUCCUUCAUCUUGAAGGCUUCUUCUGCUCGGGCAUAUCCUUCGGCCCGAGCCAGCAAAUCGGCAAAAUUCCUGGGGUACUUCUUUUCCAAGGAGAACAGAAGGUCGUUCUUCUGAAGGCCACCUUUCAGAGCGGCCAUCGCGACCGAUUGGUCCAAGUUUCGGCCCUCCAACGCAGCGACGUUGAAAUGAUUGACGUAAGCCCGGAUGGAUUUCCCCUCCCUUUGCUUGAUGUUGAUGAGAGACUCCGAACCUCUCUAGAG
rnacentral:lncRNA from 1 species